rnacentral:misc_RNA from 1 species
GAUGAAGAACGUAGUGAAAUGCGAUAAGUAAUGUGAAUUGCAGAAUUCAGUGAAUCAUCGAAUCUUUGAACGCACAUUGCGCCCGCCAGUAUUCUGGCGGGCAUGCCUGUUCGAGCGUCAUUUCAACCAUCAAGCCCCCGGCUUGUGUUGGGGACCUGCGGCUGCCACAGGCCCUGAAAUGCAGUGGCGGGCUCGCUGUCACUCCGAGCGUAGUAGUUACAUCUCGCUCUGGGCGUGCUGCGGGUUCCGGCCGUUAAAAGCCUUAUUUACCCAAGGUUGACCUCGGAUCAGGUAGGAAGACCCGCUGAACUUAAGCAUAUCAAUAAGCGGAGGA